AAACCGCCCUCUUUCCUGUUGACCACUCACUCUUUCGCGCACUGUGGGCGAAACUAGAGUUCCUCAACACAGUGUCUCAUGAAGCACCGCGGGGAAGUGAGGUGAGUGGACCAUUUGACACAUACAAGUCCUCAAUUUCGCCGAAGAAACAUCGCCUACAAGUAGGCUUUACGUGAGUCAUCAGCUGCGUCAAGAUUUUUGAUUUGAAGACGGAAAAACCUGCACAGGUCUUAUCUUCCCGUCCUUCCUGCUACUUAAAUCCAACCUAAACCUGAUUUAUUUCUUUUUUUUUUCUUAUGUGGAGGAAAUCGCUGCUUGGAAAGAGAUCGUUCUGUAGCCUCUGACGACUCCUGUUGCCAACUUAGGCUGCGCUCGGCGGAUAAUUGCUCUCCCGCCCUUUCUACCUCCAAGGUUAUUGUACCAUAUCGGGGCUCUAUAUAGAGCCAUGAACCUAACCACACCCAUGUAGAGAGCACGGGUUUUAUCUCCCGGUCCGUUGACGUUCGGCAACAGACGUCCUAAAAAAUUGGCCACCCGUUCGAUCUUCGGCGCUACGCGGGCGAAAUGCUUCCCAAAGUUCAACUUAUCUAAAGUAAUUCCGAGAUAUUUCAUCUCGUCCUGGAUCUUCCCACACCGUCAGCGACAACUGUGGUGGUUUCCUUUUGCGAGUUUGUUUGAAGAACCAAACCACCGCGGUCUUCCCGUCAGCCACUUCCAGUCUUAACUCCUGCAUCCUGGCCUGUACCCACCUGAAAGUGCUCUCCCAACUCGUCUCACCUACGACUAACAGCGUGUCGUCAGCAUAGCAGAUGAGCUGAGCGCUCCUUGAUAGUGCGAUCUCCAACACGUAGUUAUACCCGAUGUUCCACAGGAGCGGUUCGAGGACCAAGCCCUCCGCAAAACACCGCGUUUUACCUCACGACGCUCGAUGUUUUCCGACUUCCCACCGGGAACUCGAUGCUUCGUUCGUUCAGGUAGUUUCCCACGACCUUCCUCAUUUAGCCGGGAACCUUGUGACGUGCUAGCGCCUCCUUAAUCUUCAUCCCAGUGAGUUGAAAGCGUUGACGAUAUCGCCAAGAUAACUCCGCCUCUUUGGACUUUCCUCUUCACCAUGUUAACCACGUGAUCGAUGGCGCCGAUUCCGAAUCUUCCUACCUUGAAGCCAUAUUGGCGAUCCACUAAGUCCGGACCAACCAGCGAGAGAUGUCGCGAAGUCCGUGUGGCUGCGAUCCGUUUGAAGAGUGUUGGGUUUUAUUUCUUCAAAUUCCGAGUAAAAGAAUAAGCGAUUUAAUGUGCUUAAAUAUUAUACUUGAUAAAUUGCUCUUAGGGAUCUUCGUUACGGCGGCUGGACGAACACAGGUUACUUGCCAGACAAAAACACGGUAGAACGUUAGACCACGCACAAACAAUAUACAUACACAGGCACGCAUACCCAACUACACGCGAGAUGUCGCGAUUAGCAAAAUUAACAAGUUGAUAAUGACGGUCCUACAAAUAUCUUGGUUCUAUUGAAUACAUAAGAUAAUUCUAACAUUUGAUGCAGUUGCUUUUUUAAGCUAUAAUAUGUCACAUGUUGACUAUGAUAUUGCUUGUAUUUAAAUUUAAAAUACAAUAAAUAAAAUUUUACGAACAAAA